UACGGAGGGUGCAAGCAUUAAUCGGAUUUACUGGGCGUAAAGAAUGCGUAGGCUGUUUUGUAAGUCAGAUGUGAAAUUCCGGGGCUUAACCCCGGCACUGCAUUUGAAACUGCGAGACUAGAGGAUAGACGGAGAAAGUAGAAUUCCAUAUGUAGCGGUGAAAUGCGUAGAUAUAUGGAGGAAUACCGGUGGCGAAGGCG
rnacentral:rRNA from 1 species